ensembl:lncRNA
CGAAGCCUGGCUUACUGACGCGCCUCAGGUACGGACCGCCGCCUUCUCUACAUUGUAGAUCAGCCACCGUUAGUCAUGACUCAGUGAACGGACCGUGGAGAAAAUGGAAAGUGCUCGCGGCUCGAGACCGUUUCAGCACCACUUCGGCUGGACAGCGCAACAGCUUCUUUUUUUUGCUUCUUCUUCUCUUUUUUUUCUAGACAGGAUCCCGAGGUGGGGGGUUUCUUUUUGAAAUUGCACGAGCGUGCGUGAUGGAGUUCGUCGAACAGGAACAAGCUGCAACAGCAUCAGAUUAACAAGACAUCAAACAUUCCGCUUUGGUCCGAGUCUGAAAAGAUGAUGCGGGAAGUCUUGUAAGCAGCACGCAGUAAAGCAUCCAGCAGCACCGGACAGAACGGAAACUGGAGUACCCAGAGGAAACCUUGGAAGCAGGGGGGGAACAUGCAAACUCCACGCAUGCAGGGCAGAGGUGGGAAUUGAACCCCCAACAUCCCCCAAGAGGUGCAAGGCAAAUAUACAAACCGCUAAGCCACCAUUUUCUGCCAAGGUUUCCUUGAGUUUUUUUUUUGUUGUUGUUCUUAUCCAUUCAUCAUAAUAAAGCAUAAAAAUCUAAAUCUAGUGUUAGACUUUAA